AUUUUAAUUCCAAUCCGGUAAUGGUAAUAUGUGUAAGGGCAGCAUGGGGUCUCUGUUUUGUUUCUAUACUGGGUUAAUCAAGCUACCAUUAAUGCCGCCCACAUGGAUUAAACGUUCAAGAAAUGCUGAAAAAACAUUUCCCUACAAAGAACAGUAAAAGCUUGAAGCUUGGGAGCAAAAUAAUGGUACCAAGUCUAGAUUUUCCAAGGUGGUGGGGAAAGGAGAGUACAAGUAGGGGAAAUCCAGUGGUGGUAACCAUGGAGAACCGUAAUUACUCAGUGCUGGAGGUAAACGGUCCAGAUGAAGUUUUCAGGCCGGUUGAUAAGGACAGAGGCAAAAAUGCUAAGCAAUUUACCUGGGUUUUGCUUCUCAAGGCCCAUAAAGCAAUUGGCUUUGUUUCUUGGAUUGGAAACAUUGUUUGGUCAUUGUUUGUUUCAAUAAAAAAAAGAUUGAUUUUUGGGACACUGGAGACUGAGAAAUCUGGGAAAGGGAGGAUUUUGUAUAGGGUUAUUGUGGUGUUCUUAGUGAUGGCUUUAGCUUUUCUGGCUUUUGAAUUGAUGGCUCACUUGAAGGGAUGGCAUUUGCAUAUCCCACAAAGUUUGGAGAUUAGAGGAUGGCUUCAUUCGGUUUACUUUUCGUGGUUGGAGUUCCGGGCUGGCUACAUUGCUCCUGCAAUUCAGGGUUUGACUAAUUUCUGUGUUGCUCUCUUCUUAAUCCAGUCCGCCGACCGGAUGCUGCUGUGUUUAGGUUGCUUCUGGAUCAAGUUUAAGAAGAUUAAGCCAAAACUUAAAGAGGUUCCAUUGAAAUCAGAUGAUUUGGAAGGUCCAGGAUGCAAUUAUCCGAAAGUCUUGUUCAAAUUCCUAUGUGCAAUGAAAGAGAGGUGUAUGAACAAUCUAUUUCAGCAGUCUGCCAACUUGAUUGGCCGAAAGAACGGUUGCUGAUUCAAGUUCUAGAUGACUCUGAUGAUGAGAGCAUACAGUGGUUGAUUAAGGGGGAGGUUUCCAAGUGGAACCAAAGGGGUGUCAAUAUUAUCUACCGGCAUCGUUUGGUUAGAACCGGUUACAAAGCUGGAAAUCUCAAGUCUGCUAUGAAUUGUGAUUAUGUGAAGGACUAUGAGUUUGUUGCAAUCUUUGAUGCCGAUUUCCAGCCAAGCCCUGACUACCUCAAGCUCACAGUUCCCCAUUUUAAGGACAAUCCUGAGCUCGGGUUGGUUCAGGCUAGGUGGUGUUUUGUUAACACGGAUGAGAACUUAUUGACACGCCUCCAGAACAUCAAUUUGUGCUUCCACUUUGAGGUUGAACAGCAGGUUAAUGGGGUUUUCCUCAAUUUCUUUGGUUUCAAUGGUACUGCUGGAGUUUGGAGAAUCAAAGCACUUGAAGAAUCUGGAGGCUGGCUGGAGCGUACAACAGUAGAAGACAUGGAUAUAGCAGUUCGUGCCCAUCUUUGUGGUUGGAAAUUCAUAUUCCUCAAUGAUGUCAAGGUUCUUUGUGAGCUUCCAGAGUCUUAUGAAGCUUACAAAAAGCAACAACAUCGUUGGCAUUCUGGUCCGAUGCAUCUUUUCCGUUUGUGCCUUCCAGCAAUCAUUCGUUCCAAGAUGAAGUUCUGGAAGAAAGCAAAUUUGAUACUACUAUUCUUUCUUCUUAGGAAGUUAAUUCUCCCAUUUUAUUCUUUCACGUUGUUCUGCAUAAUUCUUCCCCUGACAAUGUUUGUCCCGGAAGCUGAGCUUUCCAUGUGGGUUAUCUGCUAUGUGCCUGUAUUUAUGUCAUUCAUGAACAUUCUUCCUUCCCUUAGAUCUUUCCCCUUCAUUGUCCCUUACCUCCUGUUUGAAAACACCAUGUCCGUGACCAAAUUCAACGCUAUGGUUUCCGGUUUGUUCAAGUUGGGGAGCUCCUACGAAUGGGUUGUUACCAAGAAGGCUGGUCGGUCAUCAGAGCCCGACCUGCUAGAACUAGAGGAGAGGGAAACAAAGGCCAUGAUUCACCCCCAACUGUACCGAGGAACAUCCGAUAGCGGUCUCUCUGAGCUCAGCAAAUUAAAAGAGCAACAAGAAGCUGCUCCCAAACCUCCUCCUGUGAAGAAAUUGAACAAGAUAUACAAGAAAGAGCUAGCUCUGGCAUUUUUACUGCUCACUGCUGCAGUCAGGAGCCUCCUAUCAGCACAAGGAGUACACUUUUACUUCCUACUAUUCCAAGGUGUCUCAUUUUUACUGGUGGGUCUUGAUCUAAUUGGUGAGCAGAUGAGCUAAAAAUUUGAGGUAAAAAAAAUCAUGGUAAAAGUUAAAAAAUAAAGGGUGAAUAAGAGAAUGCUUGGUUUCCAAAAUUGGAAGAGGCAGAUGCCAAAAUAGCUCCUUCUCAUUAAAAUUGCCCUUAUGGAUUAUUUUCUAGAUUUUUUUUCUUGUCCUUGUAUUGCUGCAAUCAUUUGUUUUCUUGAUUUUUAUUUACAUAUAAGAAUUUAGGACUUAUAUUACACUACCGGUCCCAAGUCCGGAUAAAGAAGGAGGGAGAGGACGUUAGGUAGUCGACAGUCGGCACUCCGGUCUCACAUCGAAUUCUUAUGAUAAUGAACACAAAACCGAGCGCAACGUUGUUUUAGGAUUCAUAUAGUCGCACCCACUUAGUGGGAUAAGACUUUGUUGUUGUUGUGUAAGAAUUUAGGACUUGUCCAAUUCAAGCCUUUGUAUUGCUGCUUCUGUGUGGAGUGUUGGUGCCAAUAUUGUAUUCCAACACCAGAUAGGUUUGUUAAUUAUUUGAAUUUUCGGAUUUUACACAUGUAAAACUCUCUGUAUAGUGCAUUAUUAUUAUUUUUUAAAUGUGUAUGUUGCAUUAGUUGAAUUGAUA